rnacentral:tRNA from 5 species
GCGGUAGUAGUUUAGUUGGUUAGAACGCCUGCCUGUCACGUAGGAGGUCGAGGGUUCGAGUCCCUUCUACCGCGCCA